CCGUCCCUCGCCGUCCUUCGCCAUCGCACGCCACCGCACCCCAUCUCUCGAAAUCUGCAGACAUCUUGAUUUUUCCCACGCUGUCUGUCAGGUCUCCGCCGCCACUCGACGCCAGGGCGCCGGGCCUUGUGGGCUGUGCUGCACCUCGGACGGCUUCGCACCAGCCAGCGCCCUCUCUCUCCUGCAGCACUCUGAUCUGCACCCCCUGAGGGGCUUCCACUGUCCGCGGGGUGAGAAUGCCCCUGGGAGUGUCACAUGACUGCCGCCCCAUGUGUGUGAGAGGCGUCCUCUGGGAGAGCAUGGAUCCUGAGGUCCCAGGAUUGUCAGCUGACCUCUGUCCUGUGUGCCCAGUGGCCCCAGGUGACGUGUCUUCAAGAAGAGGCUGAGCUGCGGUGCUUGUAAGGCAGGGUCUCAUUCUGUCACCCAGGCUGGAGUGCAGUGGUGCAAUGAUGGCUCACUGCAGCCUCGACCUGGGCUCAAGUGAUCCUCCACCUCAGCUUCCUGAGUAGCUGGGACCACAGAGUCAUGUGCUGUUCCUGGGGCUUGGAUGAUGUAGGGGAAGCAAGGUGAAAGUGGUAUCCCGUGGUUCCACGUUCUGUCCUGCUGUGGGGCUGUCCCUCACAUGCUUUCAGUGGCUGUUGCAGAGGAAGAGCCUCCGGAAAUCUGCGUGGGUCUCAGCCUUAGAUCCAAGGACAGUCCAAGGAAGUCCUAAGACCAUGGAGUUGGUGAUCUGGGAUCUGGGUUUGCUGAUAUUUCUCACCGUGAAUCUCUUGGUGGUGUUUGUGGGCACGAGAGGGGCAGAGAAUGGAGAGUGAGGCUACCACAUGAAGCGUCACCAGAGCUGCUCCCUGCUGCCUGCUCAGAGCACCCCGGAUCCACUGUUCAAUCUGCACAAGAUUCGGGGUCCAGACAUGGGAGACUUCAGCUGCCUCAGAGGACCGUGGACAGGGAAGGCCAGCCUCGCAUCCCUCUGUCCAUGCCUGGAAUGACUUUAAUAACCAAGAGUUUUAUUUUUGAAUUUGUAGCUGUCGUUCACUUUUUACCC
rnacentral:lncRNA from 1 species